AGUGAACGCUGGCGGUAGGCCUAACACAUGCAAGUCGAACGGCAGCACAGUAAGAGCUUGCUCUUACGGGUGGCGAGUGGCGGACGGGUGAGGAAUACAUCGGCAUCUACUUUUUCGUGGGGGAUAACGUAGGGAAACUUACGCUAAUACCGCAUACGACCUACGGGUGAAAUCAGGGGAUCUUCGGACCUUGCGCGAUUGAAUGAGCUGAUGUCGGAUUAGCUAGUUGGCGGGGUAAAGGCCCACCAAGGCGACGAUCCGUAGCUGGUCUGAGAGGAUGAUCAGCCACACUGGAACUGAGACACGGUCCAGACUCCUACGGGAGGCAGCAGUGGGGAAUAUUGGACAAUGGGCGCAAGCCUGAUCCAGCCAUACCGCGUGGGUGAAGAAGGCCUUCGGGUUGUAAAGCCCUUUUGUUGGGAAAGAAAAGCAGCAGGUUAAUACCCCGCUGUUCUGACGGUACCCAAAGAAUAAGCACCGGCUAACUUCGUG
rnacentral:rRNA from 1 species